rnacentral:rRNA from 1 species
GACGAACGCUGGCGGCGUGCUUAACACAUGCAAGUCGAACGGAAAGGCCUGCUUUCCCUUGUGGAUUGCGGGUACUCGAGUGGCGAACGGGUGAGUAACACGUGAGUGAUCUGCCCCCAACUUGGGUAUAAGCCUGGGAAACUGGGUCUAAUUCCCGAUAGGACUGCAGGGUGGUGCCUGUGGUGGAAAACGAUUUUCUAGUGGUUGGGGAUGAGCUCGCGGCCUAUCAGCUUGUUGGUGGGGUAAUGGCCUACCAAGGCGGCGACGGGUAGCCGGCCUGAGAGGGUGGACGGGCACAUUGGGACUGAGAUACGGCCCAGACUCCUACGGGAGGCAGCAGUGGGGAAGAGUGGACAAUGGGCGGAAGCCUGAUGCAGCGACGCAGGGUGGGGGAUGACGGCCUUCGGGUUGUAAACUCCUUUCGACCGCGAGGAAGCCACCUGGUUGGAAGGGUGGUGACGGUAGUGGUAGAAGAAGCACCGGCUAACUACGUG